GUGGGGAAUAUUGCACAAUGGGCGCAAGCCUGAUGCAGCAACGCCGCGUGAGGGAUGACGGCCUUCGGGUUGUAAACCUCUUUUAGUAGGGAAGAAGCGAAAGUAACGGUACCUGCAGAAAAAGCACCGGCUAACUACGUGCCAGCAGUCGCGGUAAUACGUAGGGUGCAAGCGUUGUCCGGAAUUAUUGGGCGUAAAGAGAUCGUAGGCGGCUUGUCGCGUCUGCCGUGAAAACCUCAGGAUCAACCUGGGGCGUGCGGUGGGUACGGGCAAGCUAGAGUGCGGUAGGGGAGAGUGAAAUUCCUGGUGUAGCGGUGGAAUGCGCAGAUAUCAGGAGGAACACCGAUGGCGAAGGCAGAUCUCUGGGCCGUAACUGACGCUGAGGAGCGAAAGCAUGGGGAGCGAACAGGAUUAGAAACCCUGGUAGUCC
rnacentral:rRNA from 1 species